CAAUGAAAAAAAUCAGACAAAACUCAAAGGCAUAUAUAUAUAUAUACUAGUUAAGAGUACGUGCAAAUGUACGGAACAAUUUUUUUAAUUUAUUUUAAAUCAAUAAAAAUUUAUAAAUCAUAUUUAUUUAAAAAUUUAGAAUAAAAUAUUUUGUAAAUUUAUAUGUUAUAUUUUAUUAGAAAAUACCUGCGAUAUCCUAUACUAUUUUUUUCUAUAUAUUAAAUAUUUUUAUAUAUUUUUUAAUUU
rnacentral:lncRNA from 1 species